ensembl:misc_RNA Metazoa_SRP Metazoan signal recognition particle RNA
GCGGGGCAUGGUGGCGCAUGCCUGUAAUCCCAGCUACUCAGGAGGCUGAGGCAGGAGAAUCGCUUGUGCCCAGGAGGCCAAGGUUACAGUGAGCUGAGAGAGCACCACUGCAGUCCAGCCUGGGUGACAGAGUGAGACCCUGUCUCAA